CCUACGGGAGGCUGCAGUGGGGAAUAUUGCGCAAUGGGCGAAAGCCUGACGCAGCGACGCCGCGUGAGGGAUGAAGGUCUUCGGAUCGUAAACCUCUGUCAGCAGGGAAGAACCGUCACUGGGCUAAUCAGCAGUAAAUUGACGGUACCUGCGAACGAACCACCGGCUAACUCCGUGCCAGCAGCCGCGGUAAUACGUAGGCGGCGAGCGUUACUCGGAAUUACUGGGCGUAAAGCGCUCGUAGGCGGUAUGGCAAGUCAAGGGUGAAAUCCCCGCGCUCAACGUGGGAACUGCCUUUGAAACUGGCAAACUGGAGUGUGGGAGAGGAUAGUGGAAUUCCAGGUGUAGGGGGGAAAUCCGUAGAUAUCAGGAGGAACAUCAGUGGCGAAGGCGACUAUCUGGCACAUAACUGACGCUGAGGAGCGAAAGCGUGGGUAGCAAACAGGAUUAGAUACCCGGGUAGUC
rnacentral:rRNA from 1 species